AACAGGGCUUCCCGUCCGCUCAGCCGUACUUAAGCCACACGCCGGGAGGUUAGUAGUUGGGUGGGUGACCACCAGCGAAUCCCUUCUGUUGUAUGUC
rnacentral:rRNA from 1 species